GGGUUGAAGAAUUUUGAGUCGCGUGGUACUUUUAGGGAACAUCAUCAGUAUCAUUCUCUAGACAUCUAGUCCUUCAUUGGCCAGAAAAAUAAAAGAGCAAUGCCUCGCCAUCUGUUUGUUCCCCUUGGUUUUAAACCUUGUUUUCACUUCCACGAAUGGUCGGGAAAUCAAUUUAGUGCGUGGGUUAAGUUGUUUUAAUGCUUAUUUUGCUCCUCUGCUUCUGUUAUAAAAGGCUUUCCUAUUCUGAGUUCCAAUUGUUAUAGACUUCCUUGG
rnacentral:misc_RNA from 1 species